rnacentral:rRNA from 1 species
GAUGAACGCUAGCGGCAGGCUUAAUACAUGCAAGUCGUGGGGCAGCGCAGUGUAGCAAUACAUGGGCGGCGACCGGCAAACGGGUGCGGAACACGUACGCAACCUUCCUUUAAGUGGGGGAUAGCCCAGGGAAACUUGGAUUAAUACCCCGUAAUACUAUGAAGUGGCAUCACUUUAUUAAUUAUAGCUCCGGCGCUUAAAGAUGGGCGUGCGCCUGAUUAGGUAGUUGGCGGGGUAACGGCCCACCAAGCCUUCGAUCAGUAACUGGUGUGAGAGCACGACCAGUCACACGGGCACUGAGACACGGGCCCGACUCCUACGGGAGGCAGCAGUAAGGAAUAUUGGUCAAUGGACGCAAGUCUGAACCAGCCAUGCCGCGUGGAGGAUGAAGGUCCUCUGGAUUGUAAACUUCUUUUAUUUGGGAAGAAACCCACGAUUUCUAUUGUGGUUGACGUACCAGAUGAAUAAGCACCGGCUAACUCCGUGCCAGCAGCC